GCACAAGAAGCUGUGGGGGAACCAAACUGGCCAAAGGAAUAUUCUAUACCACAGAAUGUCCUGCUUGAUGUAUAAACCAGGGGAAGUUGGUUAGGGGCUGCUGAUCACUGCUUGGGGACAGACUGCGUAUCAGUCAGCAGGUGACAGUCAUGGAUGACAAGAGGGAACAUGACAUCUCCUGUGUAAAGUCCAGAGCAGCACCCUGGCCCCAGGAAAACAACAUUCCUUCACAGGUUUCAUUACAACAGCCAUUACAUCUGACAGAGAAUUUAUUGACCUACGUCGACAAGACUGAGCUCCAGAAGGGAAUGCCAAGCUCCUGUCCUGUCACAUUUACACAACAUGGACUGUUGAAUUCCACUUGCCAAAUACUGUAUCAAGCUCCAAAACGUGACAAGUGUGACUGCUUCGUAAAUUGCCAGAGGGAACAGAGCCAGCUAGGAAGAGCCUAGCCAAAAAACUGUGAGCCUAGCCCAGUAACAAAUUGGCACCCAGAAGGAGUCAAGGUGAUUCCAGAAGUGGUUUUGCGGUGAGAUCCCAGUCUCAAAAUGGGGAAUUUUUGCUCCAAAGGACGUAUUUCCAAGACUUAGUAACCAGCAGAAUGAAGAUAUUUUUAAUUGGAACAGGGUGUCAGGGCUGUGGAAUUGCCAUCAGUGGAAAAUACAAAAUCAGUAACAACUUCUCUGAGACCACCAAAACAAGCUCUACAAGCAGUUGUUAAGGGUGGGUCAGGCACUGGUGGUGCAUACAACCGUCAGGUAUGAAAGCAAAUUAUCAUCACUUGCUGAUGCAGUGGCUGAGAAGAUGAGGAAGUAUCAAGGAGCAAGAGGUGAUAAAUGCCAGAAAUACUGAGCUGGUCAGAUCCCCAUCAGGAGCAUCUGGGAAGUGGUGUGGUGGCAAUUAUCCAACCUUGGGCUCUCAAAAACGCAACAGGAAUAGAUGACUCAACUCUCCUCCAGAAGAGCUUUUUUCACAUCUGUAAAUACUGUACAUUUA